UACGUAGGGUGCAAGCGUUGUCCGGAAUCAUUGGGCGUAAAGCGCGCGUAGGCGCCCGAUAAGUCCGCUGUAAAAGUCAACGGCUCAACUGUUGAAAGCCGGUGGAUACUGUCGGGCUAGAGUACGGAAGAGGCAAGUGGAAUUCCCGGUGUAGCAGUGAAAUGCGUAGAGAUCGGGAGGAACACCAGUGGCGAAGGCGGCCUCUGGACCAAUACUGACGCUCAUGCACGAAAGCGUGGGGAGCAAACAGG
rnacentral:rRNA from 1 species